GACGAACGCUGGCGGCGUGCUUAACACAUGCAAGUCGAACGAAGUGGCGAACGGGUGAGUAACGCGUAAUCAACCUGCCCUUCCGGGGGGGACACCAGUUGGAAACGACUGCUAAUACCGCAUACUGAAUGAGGGGUUUGCGUCUGAUUAGCUAGUUGGAGGGGUUACGGCCCACCAAGGCGAUGAUCAGUCGCCGGUCUGGGGGGAUGAACGGCCAAAAUGGGACUGGGACACGGCCCAGACUCCUACGGGAGGCAGCCGUGGGGAAUCUUCCGCAAUGGACGAAAGUCUGACGGAGCAACGCCGCGGGAGUGAUGACGGCCUUCGGGUUGUAAAGCUCUGUUAAUCGGGACGCGUUACCGGAAUAGAAAGCCACGGCUAACUACGUGCCAGCCGCCGCGGUAAUUC
rnacentral:rRNA from 1 species